UACGGGGGGGGCAAGCGUUGUUCGGAAUUACUGGGCGUAAAGGGCUCGUAGGCGGCCCACUAAGUCGGACGUGAAAUCCCUCGGCUUAACCGGGGAACUGCGUCCGAUACUGGUUGGCUUGAGUUUGGGAGAGGGAUGCGGAAUUCCAGGUGUAGCGGUGAAAUGCGUAGAUAUCUGGAGGAACACCGGUGGCGAAGGCGGCAUCCUGGACCGAUACUGACGCUGAGGAGCGAAAGCCAGGGGAGCAAACGGG
rnacentral:rRNA from 1 species